UACAGAGGUCCCCAGGCGUUGUUCGGAUUCACUGGGCGUAAAGGGUGCGCAGGUGGGCUGGUAAGUUCGAUGUGAAAGCCCCGGGCUUAACCCGGGAAAGGCAUUGGAUACUACUGGUCUGGAGGAUCGGAGGGGGGACUGGAAUUCUUGGUGUAGCAGUGAAAUGCGUAGAUAUCAAGAGGAACACCAGUGGCGAAGGCGAGUCCCUGGACGAUACCUGACACUGAGGCACGAAAGCCGGGGGAGCAAACAGGAUUAGAAACCCUAGUAGU
rnacentral:rRNA from 1 species